GUUAGCUCAGUUGGCAGAGCACCGGACUUUUAAUCCGGGUGUCCCGGGUUCAAGUCCCGG
rnacentral:tRNA from 3 species